rnacentral:rRNA from 1 species
UUUAUCAAAAACAUCGCCUCCUGCAACUAUAUUGAGUAUAGGAGGUCCAGCCUGCCCAGUGACUACGGGUUCAACGGCCGCGGUAUUUUGACCGUGCAAAGGUAGCGCAAUCACUUGUCUCUUAAAUAGAGCCUGUAUGAAUGGCUAGACGAGGGCUUAACUGUCUCCCCCUUCCGGUCAGUGAAAUUGAUCUAUCCGUGCAGAAGCGGGUAUAAUUUUACAAGACGAGAAGACCCUUUGGAGCUUAAGGUACAAAAUUCAACCACGUUAAACGACUUCACAGAGAGCAAGAACUUAGUGGCGAGUGAAAUUUUACCUUCGGUUGGGGCGACCACGGAGGAGAAAGAAGCCUCCGAGUGGACUGGGCUAAUCCCCAAAGCCAAGAGAUACAUCUAUAAGCCGCAGAACAUCUGACCAAAAAUGAUCCGGCUGAUAAAGCCGAUCAACGAACCAAGUUACCCUAGGGAUAACAGCGCAAUCCUCUCCCAGAGUCCAUAUCGACGAGGGGGUUUACGACCUCGAUGUUGGAUCAGGACAUCCUAAUGGUGCAGCCGCUAUUAAGGGUUCGUUUGUUCAACGAUUAAAGUCCUACGUGAUCUGAGUUCAGAC